GACGAACGCUGGCGGCGUGCUUAACACAUGCAAGUCGAACGGAAAGGCCCAGCUUGCUGGGUGCUCGAGUGGCGAACGGGUGAGUAACACGUGGGUGAUCUGCCCCUCACUUCGGGAUAAGCUUGGGAAACUGGGUCUAAUACCGGAUAGGACAAUCGUUUAGUGUCGGUUGUGGAAAGUUUUUUCGGUUAGGGAUGAGCCCGCGGCCUAUCAGCUUGUUGGUGGGGUAAUGGCCUACCAAGGCGUCGACGGGUAGCCGGCCUGAGAGGGUGGACGGCCACAUUGGGACUGAGAUACGGCCCAGACUCCUACGGGAGGCAGCAGUGGGGAAUAUUGCACAAUGGGCGCAAGCCUGAUGCAGCGACGCCGCGUGGGGGAUGACGGCCUUCGGGUUGUAAACCUCUUUCGACAGGGACGAAGCUUUGGUGACGGUACCUGUAUAAGAAGCACCGGCUAACUACGUG
rnacentral:rRNA from 1 species